rnacentral:rRNA from 1 species
AGCGAACGCUGGCGGCAGGCUUAACACAUGCAAGUCGAACGGGCACUUCGGUGUCAGUGGCAGACGGGUGAGUAACGCGUGGGAACAUACCUCUUGGUUCGGAACAACACAGGGAAACUUGUGCUAAUACCGGAUAAGCCCUUACGGGGAAAGAUUUAUCGCCGAGAGAUUGGCCCGCGUCUGAUUAGCUAGUUGGUGUGGUAAAAGCGCACCAAGGCGACGAUCAGUAGCUGGCUGAGAGGAUGAUCAGCCACAUUGGGACUGAGACACGGCCCAAACUCCUACGGGAGGCAGCAGUGGGGAAUAUUGGACAAUGGGCGCAAGCCUGAUCCAGCCAUGCCGCGUGAGUGAUGAAGGCCCUAGGGUUGUAAAGCUCUUUUGUACGGGAAGAUAAUGACGGUACCGUAAGAAU